CCUGCCUGGCCAGCCUGCAGCUGGGAUGGUACAGGCAUCUCAAGGGGUGUGGAGGCAGCGGGGAGCUCUGCCAGCCCCUGGGCUCUUCAGAUGAGUGUAUUGACCUGCAACAACUCAGAGGUGACAGCCACCCUGCCCGGGGCUCUCUCAGGGAUGGAGCAGGCACCCAACCAUCAGGACUGGUGAGCCUCGGCUCUGUCCCAGGAGGAAUACUGACAUUUCUGCUGCAAGGAGACAUGUUGGGACAGGGCCUGAAAACCCACCAGUGACAGAAACAGUGGAUUGUUGUUCUAAAACACAUGUGCAAUGUGA